CCGACGAACAGUCUGAAGCAGACGCCAUAGGGCAGAACGCAAAGAGAUUGACAGAGAUAACCAGAAGGAGAAACCAUUCGUCUACUGUGUUGAUAGUGAAGCGAGCUGUCACCUGGCCGCAGACUUUCUUCAGCCCGAGAUCCCGUGCUGCUAGGUUUCUGCUAAACGUGGCCAUUCAUCACUAGUGCCUCUGCCAAAGCAUGAUUUUUCGAGAACGAUUCGUGUGGAGACUGGAGAGAACGAAUUCGACCAUGAAACCAGCUGUUGGGAUGAAGACGAGUGGGUGAGAGGAAACGGAUAUGAAGUGUUUCACACUGUGACAGGAAGCAGCCUGCUAAUGAGUUGCAGUUUAUCAAGAUGUGUGGAGGCCAGAGAGACAAACCCACAUACUAUUUGGACAACUUCAUUUAGUUGCAAUGUGUACUGGGACUUUAUGAGCCAAGGAG